rnacentral:rRNA from 1 species
GAUGAACGCUGGCGGCGUGCCUAAUACAUGCAAGUCGAGCGAACGGACGAGAAGCUUGCUUCUCUGAUGUUAGCGGCGGACGGGUGAGUAACACGUGGAUAACCUACCUAUAAGACUGGGAUAACUUCGGGAAACCGGAGCUAAUACCGGAUAAUAUUUUGAACCGCAUGGUUCAAAAGUGAAAGACGGUCUUGCUGUCACUUAUAGAUGGAUCCGCGCUGCAUUAGCUAGUUGGUAAGGUAACGGCUUACCAAGGCAACGAUGGAUAGCCGACCUGAGAGGGUGAUCGGCCACACUGGAACUGAGGCACGGUACACACUCCUGCGGGAGGCAGCAGUAGGGAAUCUUCAGCAUUGGGCGAAAGCCUGACGGAGCAACGCCGCGUGAGUGAUGAAGGUCUUCGGAUCGUAAAACUCUGUUAUUAGGGAAGAACAUAUGUGUAAGUAACUGUGCACAUCUUGACGGUACCUAAUCAGAAAGCCACGGCUAACUACGUG